CCUACGGGAGGCAGCAGUAGGGAAUAUUGCUCAAUGGGGGAAACCCUGAAGCAGCAACGCCGCGUGGAGGAUGAAGGUUUUCGGAUUGUAAACUCCUUUUGUUAGAGAAGAUAAUGACGGUAUCUAACGAAUAAGCACCGGCUAACUCCGUGCCAGCAGCCGCGGUAAUACGGAGGGUGCAAGCGUUACUCGGAAUCACUGGGCGUAAAGAGCGCGUAGGCGGGAUAGCAAGUCAGAUGUGAAAUCCUAUGGGUUAACCAUAGAACUGCAUUUGAAACUGUUAUUCUAGAGUAUGGGAGAGGUAGGUGGAAUGCUUGGUGUAGGAGUAAAAUCCGUAGAGAUCAAGAGGAAUACUCAUUGCGAAGGCGACCUGCUAGAACAUAACUGACGCUGAUGCGCGAAAGCGUGGGGAGCAAACAGGAUUAGAUACCCCGGUAGUC
rnacentral:rRNA from 1 species